UUCUGUGUGUGCGCUAUUUUUUCCCCACAAUCAAAUAUUUCCCAGAAAUAUAUCCCGAUCCGGAUUGUUCACAAUCAAAAUCUCCCAGAAAUAUAUCCGGAUCCGGAUUGUUCACAAUCAAAAUCUCCAAGAAAUAUAUCCGGAUUGUUCAGCUCUUCACUCUUGUUCUACAAUAGAAUUAAAAUCUGCUGCUGGCUCUUCACUACUAAUUCAACCUCUGUUUCCCUCCAAUCGAGACAUAACUUUGAAGGAUGGUCGAAUUGGUAGUGAAGUAGCCCGCAGCAGUUUUUGAUAACAAAUGUGGUUAUGUUUUAGAGACAUUCACUAACUGCUAAUAUCCAAUUUUUUGAGUCUUCUCUUCUUCACCGCUCCCCUACGCGGCUAGUAGUCGGAUCUUCACCGUGAAAUGGCGAAUUGAAGAGCAUCUGGACACGCCUUUCUCCGAUCCGAUCCGGCUCCUUUUCACAUUUACCCUCUUGCCCCUUAUUCUCUUCAUUAUGUGACUGCUUAUAUAUGAUUUGAGUCUUAAUGAUGAUACCUGGUCCAAGAGUAUAUUUGACAUUGCCACUGGUACACGUAAUGAUGUGUGAGCCUCAGCUUUUCUCCAAAAUAAGUUGAUCUUAAUCGUGCUUUUGCAUACAAUUCUUUCUCAUCAUGCUGAUUUUAUGCAUGUUUUCAGAGCUAAAACAUUGUUUUAUGGUGCACCAGCACUCAUACCUUUCGUGUCCCCACCAAGGCUGCUCUGCACUCUAGUAAAUAGUAAUCUAGCUAUAUAGUUCAGUAGUUGUGUACAUGAAUCCUCUUCAUGUUUACUUGUCUUCAUUUAGCCAUUUAGGAGGCUUACUCUACUCCGAUCUUGCCUCUGAUCUUGACUUACUAGCAGAACAAGUUUGGCUUUGGCUUGGUAAGGGUAGUUCCAGCUGUAUAUGCCAUUUUUUUGCCUCAUACUAAAAACACUAUUUCCUUUGUUUUGCAUGGGAUUGUCUUAUGCUGAUGUUUAAUUAUUAAUCAGGCCAAGGUAUGGUUUCUUAUCAUCAUUAUUAUGGAUUUAGUUUUGAAUGCAUAUGAACAUAUACACACAAAUGCUUGUGUGUAAUAACUCUGAAGCAGGGCUAAUUUCUUCCCAUCCUAUUUCGCUCUUAUUAGCUAUUUGGCAACAUGUGGGUGGUAUCUAUUAUGUCUAUUGAUGGAUAAUACACUAAGCCUGGACUACAUGAACCGGCCCAAGAAAGCAAUUGGAUCAAGAAAGUCCAAGAAGGACCCUCAACACAAAGCUACAGAAGAAUUCGAUAAGGAUUGGACUUAGCACUUAUAAUAUUAGCAAGAUUAGGGCUUAUUAGUUAUAAUGUAACAGGGACUCCCAAUAUGAGGCGGUCCAGGAUUCUUAUUCCUUGUAGGGCUCUAGGCCCAAAAUAUGUAUAAAUAGACCCUUCACACAUGGAGAGGAGGGGAGAAGCAAUUCUGAGCAAUACAAUACCUAUAUUCUCUCACUA